CUCCGCUCCAAGGACAGACAGGACCGGGCAGUAUCGCAGAAGCUCCAACAGUCCGAACCGCCAUGGAGUGCGCAGGGAAGGGAAGGGGGACGAGGUGCAUCGGCCCUGUCAAAAGGCGGUGCGCUCGCUGCGGAGCCGUCGGUUACUGCUCCGUCUCUCACCAGAUUUCUCAUUGGAGUGCUCACAAAGAAGAAUGUGCAAGGUUAGAGCAACAAAUGACGCAUGCUGAAGCAUUGAAUGUUUUUCCUUUCACGUACUGUCAAGAAGCCACAGUUGAGAUUUGUCAAAAACGAGUCGGCAGGUGUUCGUUCUUGAACAAAAGGGGCAUUCAUCAGGUUGGGAUGUGGAUGUAUGAAUGCAAGUGCCACCCAUCGAGCAAUUCUUUCGACGACUUGAGGUUUCACAAUAGUUGGGAUCUUCCGAGAAUGUUAUGCCCAUGUAGAGGCCCAGUGUCUCCAAUGUCAGACCAUCUAAGUGGUUGGGAGGACUAUUAUAGGUGGAGGCAUAUACCGUUUAACUCACCUGUUGCUUUACUCCUUCAAUGGCCAAUGUUGAUAUACCAUGCCAUUCAUAUUACUAGUGCAAGGAUUUUUCCUAUUGGCGCUAGCAAGGAACUGCGUGUCCACUAUGUUGGGCCUGAGAAGGAGCUUCUACAACUUCCGGCCUUUGGUGAGUUGCAGGCACUUUUUCCUGGCUUGCGGAUUCAUAUUGUGCUUGUUGGACCCGCAGUUCCAGAGCAUAGGGAUGGUGAGACAAUUAAAGUUGGUGGUUAUGCUCAGUGUAGUGAAACCGACUGUGACUGCAAAUCCACAAGUUCUCAUGAGAGCGAAAGUUUAAACACUGCCUAUGACUCCACAGUUAUCUUGCAGCUCCGGAGAGGCUGUUAUCAUGAUAUCUACAGGAAUAUAUCAGAAGAGUCUUUCCCUAAUUUGAUUGUUGCUCCUAAUGCUGGCAUUGCUGCUUAUAGGUGCUGGUUACCUACAAUUGAGCUGAUACAAGAAAUGAAUGUCCCUGCAGUUUUUUCUGAUUACUGUGAAGAGGCUUGUCAUCUUGCAGCUCAUUGCAUGAACACUGUCGCUGGCAUAUCUUUUUCUCUUCCAAUCCAAUUGAAUCCAUUCAGGCAGCCGAUGGCGGUGGAAAACAAUGCACUUCUUCUUCCGUGCUAUUCAAAUUGCUUCCUCUUUGGAAUAUGAACCACUGAAUUGAGAAGUAAUGUAUUCGUCAAAGAUCAUAUUUAGUCAUUCGGAGAUGGUUCUGUCGAAUGAUGGAGCAUCUGGCUUUGGUACUUGAGAUGAUCCUCUGCUUGAUGUUUAGCCGCACCAAUCCAACCUGAAUUGGAUGGGGAGAAUGAAAACUUCAAGAGGUAUGACUUCCGCAUAACGAGGGUUAGUUUAUGUAGCAACAGUGAAGUUCAUCUUUGCGCAAUGGUGACUUUGGACUUGCUCUAGGACUGGCCCUUGGUCCUCCAUUUCCCUGUCACACACCUGAUUGACAUUCAGUAAUAGAGGGACUCGGCCAAAAGAUUGCUGCUGUGAGAACAAGGCAGUCCAUCGAGUGUAAGAUAUCCAUCGAGCGUGAGAUACAACUCUGCCAUGGCAGUCCCCCUUGGUACGUUGA